rnacentral:lncRNA from 1 species
UUACUGGCCCUGCAGACACUGCCUCACGUCACCCCCAAAAUAAACUGUAUGUGUGUUCUUGUUUCAGGUCAGCCUCCAGGGGAACCAAGAUGAAGCUAAAGAGUAAAGGAGGAUUUCUCCGAAUUUUCAUGAAAAGUAAGAGAACCCAAGAAAUGCAAUUAUUAAUAACUGGAAUAAUAAAACAAGAUAGAAAUGUCAACAUGUUCCCCAUGGAACCCUGAGGACGUAAUUGUAAGUAAAUGGAAG